rnacentral:tRNA from 1 species
GGGGACAUAGCUCAGUUGGUGAGAGCGCAGAGCUUAUACCUCUGGAAUCUGUCGAAGGUUCAAGUCCUUCUGUCCCUACCA